AUGUAUUGGAAUUCAACUAGCAAUUUCUCUUUCUACAUAUCAUGCAUGGGAAAACACAAAGUAAACUUCAAGGAUCCAACCAACUUUAUACUUUACAUAAGGUCAAAAAGAUUCAAUUUCCCAAUUUUCCAAAAGCAGUUCUUUUGGAGACACCAUUCACUUUCACUUAUUUUGUUAAUCACAAUACUAAUUACAGGUAUAAAUAGUGUGAGAAAGUUUUUUAUUGAUUAG